rnacentral:lncRNA from 1 species
UAUGAAUCUUUUUCUUUUGUCUUUUUGUUCAUCGGACAGUCCGGUUUGUAGUGACCCGGCUUUCCGCACUUGUAGCACGACCCUCUAGUUGUUUUUCCUUUGGAGUCAUCAUUUUUGGAGAACCUAGAUUGCUUCCGGAAGUUUACUAAGUUCUUCUCGGAAUGUUGGAUGCCGUUCUUUCUCACGUAACGGUUGUAGCGUUUGACGAACAGCCCCAUAU